UCCUCGAUAGCUCAACGGUAGAGCAUCCGGCUGUUAACCGGAGGGUUGCUGGUUCGAAUCCAGCUCGAGGAGCCA
rnacentral:tRNA from 1 species